ACCUGGUUGAUUCUGCCAGUAGUCAUAUGCUUGUCUAAAAGAUUAAGCCAUGCAAGUGCGAGUGAUUCGGAGCAUCACUCUUUGUAAAAGGAGGGGGAAGGCUCAGGAUGACUGCGAAAGGCUCAUUAAAACAGUUAUGGAUCUGGAUGGUCAGAAGAAAACGGAGAGGAUAAGGGUGUGAAAAUAGAGCUAAAACGAGGGAGGGGGAUCUUGACUCAUUCAUGUGAUGUGUGAUGAAGAAGGGAUUUCUAGAAUUUCAUAGAGAUAUGAGAGGGAGCAUGUGAAUAUUUGACCUAUCAACUGGGGAUGGUAGUAUAGGGGACUACGAUGGUGGUGACGGGUGACGGAGGAUCAGGGUUUGGUACCGG
rnacentral:rRNA from 1 species